rnacentral:rRNA from 1 species
UUAAGCGACUAAGCGUACACGGUGGAUGCCCUGGCAGUCAGAGGCGAUGAAGGACGUGCUAAUCUGCGAAAAGCGUCGGUAAGGUGAUAUGAACCGUUAUAACCGGCGAUGUCCGAAUGGGGAAACCCAGUGCAAUUCGUUGCACUAUCGUUAACUGAAUACAUAGGUUAACGAGGCGAACCGGGGGAACUGAAACAUCUAAGUACCCCGAGGAAAAGAAAUCAACCGAGAUUCCCCCAGUAGCGGCGAGCGAACGGGGAGCAGCCCAGAGUCUGAAUCAGCUUGUGUGUUAGUGGAACGGUCUGGAAAGUCCGACGGUACAGGGUGAUAGUCCCGUACACCAAAAUGCACAGGCUGUGAACUCGAAGAGUAGGGCGGGACACGUGGUAUCCUGUCUGAAUAUGGGGGGACCAUCCUCCAAGGCUAAAUACUCCUGACUGACCGAUAGUGAACCAGUACCGUGAGGGAAAGGCGAAAAGAACCCCGGCGAGGGGAGUGAAAAAGAACCUGAAACCGUGUACGUACAAGCAGUGGGAGCACCUUCGGGUGUGACUGCGUACCUUUUGUAUAAUGGGUCAGCGACUUAUAUUCUGUAGCAAGGUUAACCGUAUAGGGGAGCCGCAGGGAAACCGAGUCUUAACUGGGCGUUAAGUUGCAGGGUAUAGACCCGAAACCCGGUGAUCUAGCCAUGGGCAGGUUGAAGGUUGGGUAACACUAACUGGAGGACCGAACCGACUAAUGUUGAAAAAUUAGCGGAUGACUUGUGGCUGGGGGUGAAAGGCCAAUCAAACCGGGAGAUAGCUGGUUCUCCCCGAAAGCUAUUUAGGUAGCGCCUCGUGAAUUCAUCUUCGGGGGUAGAGCACUGUUUCGGCUAGGGGGUCAUCCCGACUUACCAACCCGAUGCAAACUACGAAUACCGAAGAAUGUUAUCACGGGAGACACACGGCGGGUGCUAACGUCCGUCGUGAAGAGGGAAACAACCCAGACCGCCAGCUAAGGUCCCAAAGUCAUGGUUAAGUGGGAAACGAUGUGGGAAGGCACAGACAGCCAGGAUGUUGGCUUAGAAGCAGCCAUCAUUUAAAGAAAGCGUAAUAGCUCACUGGUCGAGUCGGCCUGCGCGGAAGAUGUAACGGGGCUAAACCAUGCACCGAAGCUGCGGCAGCGACACUAUGUGUUGUUGGGUAGGGGAGCGUUCUGUAAGCCUGCAAAGGUGACCUGUGAGGGUUGCUGGAGGUAUCAGAAGUGCGAAUGCUGACAUAAGUAACGAUAAAGCGGGUGAAAAGCCCGCUCGCCGGAAGACCAAGGGUUCCUGUCCAACGUUAAUCGGGGCAGGGUGAGUCGACCCCUAAGGCGAGGCCGAAAGGCGUAGUCGAUGGGAAACAGGUUAAUAUUCCUGUACUUGGUGUUACUGCGAAGGGGGGACGGAGAAGGCUAUGUUAGCCGGGCGACGGUUGUCCCGGUUUAAGCAUGUAGGCUGGUUAUCCAGGCAAAUCCGGAUAAUCAAGGCUGAGGUGUGAUGACGAGGCACUACGGUGCUGAAGUAACAAAUGCCCUGCUUCCAGGAAAAGCCUCUAAGCAUCAGGUAACAUCAAAUCGUACCCCAAACCGACACAGGUGGUCAGGUAGAGAAUACCAAGGCGCUUGAGAGAACUCGGGUGAAGGAACUAGGCAAAAUGGUGCCGUAACUUCGGGAGAAGGCACGCUGGUGUGUAGGUGAAGCCCCUGCGGGUGGAGCUGAGACCAGUCGAAGAUACCAGCUGGCUGCAACUGUUUAUUAAAAACACAGCACUGUGCAAACACGAAAGUGGACGUAUACGGUGUGACGCCUGCCCGGUGCCGGAAGGUUAAUUGAUGGGGUUAUCCGUAAGGAGAAGCUCUUGAUCGAAGCCCCGGUAAACGGCGGCCGUAACUAUAACGGUCCUAAGGUAGCGAAAUUCCUUGUCGGGUAAGUUCCGACCUGCACGAAUGGCGUAAUGAUGGCCAGGCUGUCUCCACCCGAGACUCAGUGAAAUUGAACUCGCUGUGAAGAUGCAGUGUACCCGCGGCAAGACGGAAAGACCCCGUGAACCUUUACUAUAGCUUGACACUGAACAUUGAGCCUUGAUGUGUAGGAUAGGUGGGAGGCUUUGAAGCGUGGACGCCAGUCUGCGUGGAGCCAACCUUGAAAUACCACCCUUUAAUGUUUGAUGUUCUAACGUUGGCCCCUUAUCGGGGUUGCGGACAGUGUCUGGUGGGUAGUUUGACUGGGGCGGUCUCCUCCCAAAGCGUAACGGAGGAGCACGAAGGUUAGCUAAUCCUGGUCGGACAUCAGGAGGUUAGUGCAAUGGCAUAAGCUAGCUUGACUGCGAGCGUGACGGCGCGAGCAGGUGCGAAAGCAGGUCAUAGUGAUCCGGUGGUUCUGAAUGGAAGGGCCAUCGCUCAACGGAUAAAAGGUACUCCGGGGAUAACAGGCUGAUACCGCCCAAGAGUUCAUAUCGACGGCGGUGUUUGGCACCUCGAUGUCGGCUCAUCACAUCCUGGGGCUGAAGUAGGUCCCAAGGGUAUGGCUGUUCGCCAUUUAAAGUGGUACGCGAGCUGGGUUUAGAACGUCGUGAGACAGUUCGGUCCCUAUCUGCCGUGGGCGCUGGAGAAUUGAGGGGGGCUGCUCCUAGUACGAGAGGACCGGAGUGGACGCAUCACUGGUGUUCGGGUUGUCAUGCCAAUGGCACUGCCCGGUAGCUAAAUGCGGAAGAGAUAAGUGCUGAAAGCAUCUAAGCACGAAACUUGCCCCGAGAUGAGUUCUCCCUGAGACUAUAAGUCUCCUGAAGGAACGUUAAAGACGAUGACGUUGAUAGGCCGGGUGUGUAAGCGCAGCGAUGCGUUGAGCUAACCGGUACUAAUGAACCGUGAGGCUUAACCUU